UGAGGAACAUGACCUUCGGCGGGGGAGUAGCCGGCCCAACGGCCGGGUAAUACCGCGUACGACCACAUGGGGACAUCCCUGAGUGGUGAAAGCAGCAAUGCGCCGAUGGAGUGCCUCGCGGCCUAUCAGCUAGUUGGUGUGGAUAACGGCCCACCAAGGCGACGACGGGUAGCCGGCCUGAGAGGGUGACCGGCCACACUGGGACUGAGACACGGCCCAGACCUCCGUACGGGGAGGNACGCG
rnacentral:rRNA from 1 species